GACGAACGCUGGCGGCGUGCUUAACACAUGCAAGUCGAACGGAAAGGCCCUGCUUGCAGGGUACUCGAGUGGCGAACGGGCGAGUAACACGUGGGUGAUCUGCCCUGCACUUCGGGAUAAGCCUGGGAAACUGGGUCUAAUACCGGAUAGGAGCCAUUUUUAGUGUGAUGGUUGGAAAGUUUUUUCGGUGUAGGAUGAGCUCGCGGCCUAUCAGCUUGUUGGUGGGGUAAUGGCCUACCAAGGCGGCGACGGGUAGCCGGCCUGAGAGGGUGGACGGCCACAUUGGGACUGAGAUACGGCCCAGACUCCUACGGGAGGCAGCAGUGGGGAAGAUUGCACAAUGGGCGCAAGCCUGAUGCAGCGACGCCGCGUGGGGGAUGACGGCCUUCGGGUUGUAAACUCCUUUCGCUAGGGACGAAGCUUUUUGUGACGGUACCUAGAUAAGAAGCACCGGCUAACUACGUG
rnacentral:rRNA from 1 species